rnacentral:rRNA from 1 species
GAGACAGCAGUAGCCGCGGGAAUACGAAGGGUGCAAGCGUUACUCGGAAUUACUGGGCGUAAAGCGUGCGUAGGUGGUGGUUUAAGUCCGUUGUGAAAGCCCUGGGCUCAACCUGGGAAUUGCAGUGGAUACUGGGUCACUAGAGUGUGGUAGAGGAUAGUGGAAUUUCCGGUGUAGCAGUGAAAUGCGUAGAGAUCGGAAGGAACAUCUGUGGCGAAGGCGACUAUCUGGGCCAACACUGACACUGAGGCACGAAAGCGUGGGGAGCAAACAGGAUUAGAUACCCGUGUAGUCCCUGUCUCUUAUAA